AUAAGUGUAACUCUGUUACUAAGAUAAGUGAAAUUCAAAGAAAAGUACCCAUUAUGUAGUUAAUUUGUCUUAAAAUAUACUGAUAAAAGUAUUUUUUUUUAUUAAUAAAAGUUUUAAUGGGAUAAAUUUGAUAAUCAACAAAAUUAAUUAAAAGUAAUGGGCCAGAACAGUCUUAUAUUCUUCAGAUGGAAGAGCUUAUACUGGGGUCAUGGCUUUAUAUAGGUGUCAGAUUUGAUUGACUUUGUAGAAAUAAUAGGCAGUGGCGGACUUGGGCUUAGACCUGGUGGGUCAAGUGACUCACCAGGCCCAAAAAAAAAUUUUAAGUUAUUUUUUGAAAAAAAAAAAAAAACUGACAUUUGCUUUCGAAAUCCCGAGUUUCUGUCUUCUUCAAACAAUCAAACCCUAGCCUUCUUCUCUUCGCGACUUCGCCUCAUCUCCAUUCUUCAGUUCGCCUCUUCGCUUCGUCCCAGCCAGGCAGCCACCGUUCUCUUCGCCUGGUGGUUGGUCCGUCGGUGGUCGUGGACUCCGUCCUCUUCGUGGCUUCUCGCAUAGUCGCAUAAUCGCAUUUCGAAAUCGCUACUCGCUAGUUCUCCAUUGAAGCGCCUACUGUGCUUUAUCUCCUCCAUCGAAUGUUGGAGUUGGCUGUAAACACAACACAAAACAAGAUUGCAAUGAUGAAUGUGCAAAUAAGGCUAUUAUGCUGGAGUUCCCGGCAAGGAUAACAAAUUCGAGUGCUUAGAAGUGUCAAAAUAAUUAAUGCUUGAGUCCACUAAAGGGAAUGAGCAUCAAAGGAAAACGUAGUCUCGCCCAAGGCCAGGUUGGCAACCUCUUGGUUUUCUAAGGGAAUGAGUAAGUUGAUUUCUAAUUUCAUCAAUUGAUUCUUUUUUUUUUUUUUUUGUGAAUUUUUGAUCAAAUUUGCAUUACUUGUCUCUUCAACUUAUGUGAAAUCUGUUUUGUGUAAUUGUGUUUUGUGUAAUAUGUUUAUGUGAUUAUGUCAUUAUGUGAAAUUGCUUGAUUUAGUUGGAUAUUUAUUCAAAUAAUUUUUCUGGGGAAUAUUGCAUGGGAGAUCAAAUGUUGAAUGAUUGUUUAAUUACUUAUUUGGAGAAUGAUUUGUUUUUGAAUGUUAGCAUGGAAGAUAUCAUGAAUCGAUAUCAAAACAUGAAAACUCGUCGAGAACUAUUGUAAUAAGUUUGCAUUACUAUUUAGUUGUCUUUUGUAGUAUUAUAUGAACAUUUGGUUGUAUUUUGUACUGUUUGAAUAUUUGGAUGUAUUUUUUAGUACUAUUAUUUGGUUGUUUGGUAA